UACGGAGGAUCCGAGCGUUAUCCGGAUUUAUUGGGUUUAAAGGGAGCGUAGGUGGAUUGUUAAGUCAGUUGUGAAAGUUUGCGGCUCAACCGUAAAAUUGCAGUUGAAACUGGCAGUCUUGAGUACAGUAGAGGUGGGCGGAAUUCGUGGUGUAGCGGUGAAAUGCUUAGAUAUCACGAAGAACUCCGAUUGCGAAGGCAGCUCACUAGACUGGUCACUGACACUGAGGCUCGAAAGUGUGGGUAUCAAACAGG
rnacentral:rRNA from 1 species